UACGGGGGAGGCAAGCGUUGUUCGGAUUUACUGGGCGUAAAGGGCGCGUAGGCGGCCUCUGCAAGUCGACUGUGAAAUCUCCGGGCUUAACCCGGAAAGGUCAGCCGAUACUGCAGGGCUAGAGUGCAGAAGGGGCAACUGGAAUUCUCGGUGUAGCGGUGAAAUGCGUAGAUAUCGAGAGGAACACCUGCGGCGAAGGCGGGUUGCUGGGCUGACACUGACGCUGAGGCGCGAAAGCUAGGGGAGCGAACGGG
rnacentral:rRNA from 1 species